rnacentral:rRNA from 1 species
GACGAACCGUGCGAACGUUAUUCGGAAUCAUUGGGCUUAAAGCGCGCGUAGGCGGCGGCGUAAGCGGGGGGUGAAAGGCUAUCGGCUCAACCGUGGCAUGGCUCUCCGGACUGCGUCGCUUGAGGGGGACAGGGGCACGCGGAACUUCCAGUGGAGCGGUGAAAUGUGUUGAGAUUGGAAGGAACGCCAGUGGCGAAAGCGGCGUGCUGGACCGGCAUUGACGCUGAUGAGCGAAAGCCAGGGGAGCAAACGGG